GCCGUAUGCAGAAUCUUCUUUCAUAAAAUGGUCAACACGUUUGAAGACACAGAGUCGAAGGAUGGGGUUCAAAUUGAUGACCUUGAUGAUCAAAUAUCAAAUAUCCACAGGAACGAUGCGAUCAGCUAUACAGGGGAGAAAAAGGAUGAACUGCCGAUUGUCAAUGGAAAGCUGCAGCAGC